rnacentral:lncRNA from 1 species
AAAGAUAAGUAUGCAUAUCAAUCAAUCUACACACUUUUAGAUAUACAUCAUAUCGGUAUCUAGUUUUUUUUUUUUUUCUUGUAAGUAUCGAUAUCAUCAACCUAUACGUUUUUUGUCGGGAUCUAUAUCUCUAUUUAUACGUUACAUAUAUUAUAUACAGGAUAAUGUAAAUAUGUGUGUUUCUAUAUACAAAUCAUGUAUUAAGCCAUAAUAAUGAUAUGAAUCCAUGAAUUAUAUAGGGACCGGCACUGAAUAUAGCUAUGUAAAGAUGCCAUGAGUUUGCAUGUGGUAUCUUUGAGAAAAGGACGUGAAAAACAAAAUAAAAAUAAAAAGAUUCUAUGUUUUAAGGUUUCAUAAAAUUACUAUCUAUUUGGUUUGAUUAAUAUAUUACAGUUGAUUUCCUAGCAAAAAAUGCAUAUUUAUAUUUCAAUUUGAUGUGUUGUUAAAUUGUAAUUUUGAAUUAGGGAAGAGGGACAUACGGAGAAUGACGAUGCCAGCAACCCAUUGGCCUGAGUUAGAACGAAUAGAGGGACGACCAUAGUAAUCCACUGUUCCAUCUCUUGUUUCUUCUUCUUCUUCUUCUUUCUUCUUCAUUGUCUGCAUUUUUCAUUUAGUUAAAUUUAAUUAGUUGAUACACACACAUCAAUUUAUCUAUAAAUAUAUAGAAAGAUGCUAUAUAUGUUUAAUUCUCUACUAGUAUGUACCACCUUUUUUGCUCAUGUUACGGAGAAGAUUCAUAAGUUCCAUGGUUUUUGUUUUUCCGGAACUUGACCAAAAACAAAAAACGAUUUUUUCUUUUAACUCUAAUUUUCUGCAUUGCCACGUAAUUCUCGUUUUGUAUACACUACUUUCAAGAUUAUAUUUGGAUUUAUACUCGACUUUAAAUUGGAGCACUAAAAAAGAAAAAUACUUACAUCCAUAUAUAUAAAGAAGAUUAGAUAUAAUAUGCCAAUAUUAUAGAGCUUAAUUUAAAAGCUUGUCUAUUAAAAAUAUUUUUUUGAAGAAAAAGAAAAGAUGUUGAGCUAAAUGUUUGUUGCACAUAAAGAUCGUGACUUUCCAUUGCACUAAGCAUGUCCUUUUGAUCAUGCUCUUAUUGAGCCACCAAAAGCUUAUAAAGUUUUUACUAUAACAAUGAGUUACUUAACAAGAAAAAAAUUUCCUUUUGUAGUCACAUAUGAAAUUCAAGAAACAAGAGCCUUAAUCAGAUAAUCAAAAUCUUAU